UACGUAGGGACCAAGCGUUGUUCGGAUUUACUGGGCGUAAAGGGCGCGUAGGCGGCGCGGUAAGUCACUUGUGAAAUCUCUGAGCUUAACUCAGAACGGCCAAGUGAUACUGCAGUGCUAGAGUGUGGAAGGGGCAAUCGGAAUUCUUGGUGUAGCGGUGAAAUGCGUAGAUAUCAAGAGGAACACCUGAGGUGAAGACGGGUUGCUGGGCCAACACUGACGCUGAGGCGCGAAAGCCAGGGGAGCAAACGGGG
rnacentral:rRNA from 1 species